rnacentral:rRNA from 1 species
GACGAACGCUGGCGGCGUGCUUAACACAUGCAAGUCGAACGGAAAGGCCCUGCGUUUGUGGGGUGCUCGAGUGGCGAACGGGUGAGUAACACGUGAGUAACCUGCCCUUGACUUUGGGAUAACUUCAGGAAACUGGGGCUAAUACCGGAUAGGAGCUCCUGCUGCAUGGUGGGGGUUGGAAAGUUUCGGCGGUUGGGGAUGGAUUCGCGGCUUAUCAGCUGGUUGGUGUGGUAGUGGCUUACCAAGGCUUUGACGGGUAGCCGGCCUGAGAGGGUGACCGGCCACCUUGGGACUAAGAGACGGACCAGACGGCUACGGGAGGCAGCAGGCGGGAGUAUUGCACAACGGGCGGAAGCCUGAUGCAGCAGCGCCGCGUGCGGGAUGACGGCCUUCGGGUUGUAAACCGAUUUGGCCUGUGACGAAGCGGGAGUGACGGUAAUGGGUAAGAAAGCACCGGCUAACUACGUG